rnacentral:rRNA from 1 species
UACGAACGCUGGCGGCAUGCCUAACACAUGCAAGUCGAACGAUGCUUUCGGGCCUAGUGGCGCACGGGUGCGUAACGCGUGGGAAUCUGCCCUUGGGUUCGGAAUAACAGUGAGAAAUUGCUGCUAAUACCGGAUGAUGUCUUCGGACCAAAGAUUUAUCGCCCAGGGAUGAGCCCGCGUAGGAUUAGCUAGUUGGUGGGGUAAUGGCCUACCAAGGCGACGAUCCUUAGCUGGUCUGAGAGGAUGAUCAGCCACACUGGGACUGAGACACGGCCCAGACUCCUACGGGAGGCAGCAGUGGGGAAUAUUGGACAAUGGGCGCAAGCCUGAUCCAGCAAUGCCGCGUGAGUGAUGAAGGCCUUAGGGUUGUAAAGCUCUUUUACCCGGGAUGAUAAUGACAGUACCGGGAGAAUAAGCUCCGGCUAACUCCGUG